AAGCCACUCAGUCAGCUGUUGAGGAGGCCCUCAGAGCAGGGAAUCAAUUGGGAGCAAUCACGGUGAGUGUACCAUUGGACUAUAUUGACCUAAGAGUGAAGGUCUUCACAGGUUGUAGUGGAGAACUGAGGAUGAAAAG